rnacentral:rRNA from 1 species
GAUGAACGCUGGCGGCGUGCCUAAUACAUGCAAGUCGAGCGAACAGACGAGGAGCUUGCUCCUCUGACGUUAGCGGCGGACGGGUGAGUAACACGUGGAUAACCUACCUAUAAGACUGGGAUAACUUCGGGAAACCGGAGCUAAUACCGGAUAAGAUAUUGAACCGCAUGGUUCAAUAGUGAAAGACGGUUUUGCGGUCACUUAUAGAUGGAUCCGCGCCGCAUUGUCUAGUUGGUAAGGUAACGGCUUACCAAGGCAACGAUGCGUAGCCGACCUGAGAGGGUGAUAGACCACCCUGGAACUGAGACACGGUCCAGACUCCUACGGGAGGCAGCAGUAGGGAAUCUUACGCAAUGGGCGAAAGCCUGACGCAGCAACGCCGAGUGAGUGAUGAAGGUCUUCGGAUCGUAAAACUCUGUUAUUAGGGAAGAACAAAUGUGUAAGUAACUAUGCACGUCUUGACGGUACCUAAUCAGAAAGCAACGGCUAACUACGUG